rnacentral:rRNA from 1 species
GUCCACGCCCUAAACGAUGGCAACUGGGUGUUGGGGAAGCGAUUUCUCAGUACCGUAGCUAACGCGUGAAGUUGCCCGCCUGGUGAGUACGGCCGCAAGGUUAAAACUCAAAGGAAUUGACGGGGACCCGCACAAGCGGUGGAUGAUGUGGAUUAAUUCGAUGCAACGCGAACAACCUUACCUACCCUUGACAUGUCCGGAAGCCCGCUGAGAGGCGGGUGUGCCCGAAAGGGAAUCGGAACACAGGUGCUGCAUGGCUGUCGU